UGCCAGACUCCUACGGGAGGCAGCAGUGGGGAAUAUUGGGCAAUGGGCGCAAGCCUGACCCAGCAACGCCGCGUGAAGGAAGAAGGCUUUCGGGUUGUAAACUUCUUUUCUCAGGGACGAAGAAAGUGACGGUACCCGAGGAAUAAGCCACGGCUAACUACGUGCCAGCAGCCGCGGUAAUACGUAGGUGGCAAGCGUUAUCCGGAUUUACUGGGUGUAAAGGGCGUGUAGGCGGGACUGCAAGUCAGAUGUGAAAACCGUGGGCUCAACCUGUGGCCUGCAUUUGAAACUGUCGUUCUUGAGUACUGGAGAGGCAGACGGAAUUCCUAGUGUAGCGGUGAAAUGCGUAGAUAUUAGGAGGAACACCAGUGGCGAAGGCGGUCUGCUGGACAGCAACUGACGCUGAGGCGCGAAAGCGUGGGGAGCAAACAGGAUUAGAUACCCCCGUACAA
rnacentral:rRNA from 1 species